ACGAAAGUAUCAUAAAUAAAAAACGUACCCUGGAUAAGGAUAGGAGUGGGGAGGGCACCGGUUUCAUCUAGGUGGUACACACGACCCCGAGCUACAAGUCUGGUCACGUCCUUCGAUCGCUAAGAACAGUCCUUUAUAAGGUGCUGGGUGCUUCUGCACCGAUAGUAGGUGUGAUUGAUACACCGAUUGGGUAAUUCACCAUGUGAGCGACCACAAUGCUGACAUGGUUAGGAACAUCGAACAGACUAUCUAAUAAGUGGAGGUAGAGCAGGGGGAAGCGCAACUCAGUUUUUGUUUAUCAGAGUGGUUACUUACUAGGUUGGGCAAUUUUCUUCUUAGUUGUUAGGGUUGUUGUUGUUGGGUACAAAGUCGGGCAAUGCGUUGG
rnacentral:lncRNA from 1 species